UUAUGAGGAUUUGGGAAUAAAAUGAGUAAAAGGUAUAAGUAUUUUUGUGUCUAUUUAGUUAUUUAUAAUUUAUAGAUAUGAGAACACAAAUAAAUACAUGUUUCCGUUAUGGAUGAACUUCCCAAAUUCGAAGGAGCAUCAGGGUUGAAAAUAAACAUAACUAAAACAGAAUUAGUCACCUCUCUGAAGAACCAACUUGCAAAGUUAUUUCCAAACUUAUGGUACGCAUCCACAGGCACUCUUCUUGACGUUUCGGUCUCUCCGAUAUCCCAAGAACAUCUCAUUUAAUAUAAUUACAAAAAAAUUGUGGAGAAAGUGACAAAGGAAGUGAACAUAUAUACUUCGUAAAAUAUUACAAAAUUAGAAAAACUCAAAAUCAGGGACAAACCGGUCGUUCCCAAAAUUGACCAUCUCUUGAGAUGCACACAAUUUUCCAAAAAAUACAUGCAAAACAAUAAACUAUUUCAAGAAACACCAUGUCUGCGUAGAUAAACGACAAUUUAUCUUCAACGACCGCCUUAUUAGUUAUUACAGCUUUAUAGCUGGGACUGGGUUCAGUCGACAGAAGUAUUUUUGAAAAAUCUAUACGUUAGUUGGCUAAAAAGGCUAAGGACCGAAUGAAGUUUUUAAAGUAAUAAAGACCUUGGGAAUUGGUUCAUUGGAAAGGGCAAAAAAUAUCAUCACCGGGUUUGUUUUUGGAGAAGCGUUGGAGGAACCUUACUAUGGAAGAAGAAGAAAUCAACCCGACAAUAAUUCACUCCCACCCCUUUAUUUCGUGGACACAGAAAUGGUUUCGAUACAGGUUGGCGACAUCCUCGAUAUAUACCAGCAAGUCGAUUUGAACGAACCGUGAAUGCUAUUUCUGAAAGGAAGCUAUGAAAUCUUCGUUCGAUUUAUUUUAUUUUUGUGAUCGAGUGAGGCCUCUAAUACAAAUGAUGGAGUGUAUCGUAUCAUAACUGAUAGGUUUGGUAUUAGUGUCAAGGCGUCAGAUUGGCUCAUUGCUCUUACAACAAGAGUAUAAUAUGACUUCAAAGUAAAAGCGAUAAUAGCAGAGACUCUUACGAUAAUAUGUGCAUGCAGAUCCAAAAGGACUCCUCUUCCUGAAGGUCUGAACAAAGCUAUCGUGAGAUUUAUGGACUCAAUGGAUUUUUAAACUAUAUUAAAUUUCAUAGUUUUAUUGUAUAAAGGGGACUUUUCCCCAUCUUUUAUACGCUUUUAAAUAACUGAUUAAAACUCAAUUCUCUAUUAACUUAUUUUUUGUAAUUUUUAAAUAACUGUACAACUUUUAUGCAUUUGGCUGAUUUAUAACAUACAUAUUUAAGUUACUUUAUUAAUAAUUUUUUGUUUUUAAGAGUUUAAAGCUUGCUUUUCUCCGACAUAAUUAAAAGAAUAGAUCUUUGAGUUAGGAAA
rnacentral:lncRNA from 1 species